AGCGAACGCUGGCGGCAGGCUUAACACAUGCAAGUCGAACGGUCCUUCGGGAUAGUGGCGGACGGGUGAGUAACACGUGGGAACGUACCCUUAGGUUCGGAACAACACAGGGAAACUUGUGCUAAUACCGGAUAAGCCCUUCGGGGGAAAGAUUUAUCGCCUUUGGAGCGGCCCGCGCCUGAUUAGCUUGUUGGUGAGGUAAUGGCUCACCAAGGCUACGAUCAGUAGCUGGUCUGAGAGGAUGGCUAGCCACACUGGGACUGAGACACGGCCCAGACUCCUACGGGAGGCAGCAGUGGGGAAUCUUGCGCAAUGGGCGAAAGCCUGACGCAGCCAUGCCGCGUGGACGAUGAAGGUCUUAGGAUUGUAAAAUCCUUUCACCGGGGACGAUAAUGACGGUACCCGGAGAAGAAGCCCCGGCUAACUUCGUGCCAGCAGCCGCCGUAA
rnacentral:rRNA from 1 species